UAAUUAACAGGCAUCCUGCGGACUGUAAUUAAAAGGCAGUUUGAAAUUAGUGAUACUUUGAUUCUAGCCAUUUGUAUUUUAUAACUGACAGUGAAUUCGCCUCAAAAAUGUUUAGUCCUCUCAUGUCCUUGCUCCCUGGUUUUUCUUCGGUUAGGCACUUUGGAAUUCAGCUGCAUUCUUCUACUUUCAACAAGUUACCUUCCUACCACUUCCAUUUGGGUGGAGCUGGUGAGCCAGAAGGAAGAAACGCCCAAACAGAUCUUCAGGCUCCACCCUCCCCAAUAGGUUCUCACGGCAGAGAUGCGCCUGGCAGGAGCUUCAACCCCAAGGCCACCCGCCGCCGCGGGUUCCCAAGCCCGGAUAGGGCCCUAAUGGGAAAGCAGCCUGGGUUCGCCUCGGCCCAGCCUCCGCCAAGUCUUCGGGAUCUGACGACCCACAACAGCGCGAGGGCGGAGGAACGGGAGGAAGCAGAGGAAGAGGAGGAAGAGGAAUUGCUUUUGUCGAGGCUCCGCCCGGCGCUGGCCAGGCCUCGUGGAGCCUCCGGGGCUCGGGGUCCCCAGGGGGCGUGGCCUCAGGGGCGGAAGAGGAGCGCGGGCGGGGGCUCAGGCAGCGCGCGGCGCGGGGGAGGGUCGGAGCCUCACCGGGCGGGGCGGGGCGGGGCGGGGCGGGGCGGGGCGGCAGGGCCUCCCCAGAGCGGGCGGCGGAGCUGCACUAGUCCGCGCGCGGUAGGGCAGAGACCCCGUACCCGAGGAGAAGGCAAAUUCUCAAGAAGGUGUCCGGUUCUGCCCAUCCUGCCCCACAGUUGGAAAACUGGACGCUGAGAAGUACACGCCAGAUUUGGCGGCCAGGCUAGUCUGAGAGCUAUAGGACAUGGAGCACCCCCAGGGGAAGCAAAGACAGGAUUCUCUCUCCCUCCUAGAUGUGAAUGUGUGACAUAGCUCCGCUCUCAUCUCCUCUUUGCAGAUGAUUUGUGUUGUCAGAGAAUUCAAUCUUUCUAGUUUUGUGACAGCUUCUUAACUGAAUUCCUCCACUUUUAGUUCAGGUUAAGCCUUGAUUGUGUCAUCUACCCCAAUGCUAGACGAAAGAGUUAAAGGACCAAAAGAGAGUAAGCCUUUUAAAGAAAGAAAAGAGCUAUAUAAUUGCCUAAGUAAAGCAUACUUCAGCUUUCAUAACUGCAAAAUACGUUCAGUUUAACCAACCAAAUUUUGUGCUGGACCCUGGGAUAACACAUAUGUACUAUAGAUACUCUAGUAGGGAAGAUAGAUGAAUAGAAAGACAACUAUAAGUCAGUGUUAUACCUUUAAUAAUAAGAGCACAUACUAGGUACAAAAGUGGCUAACUGAAGGAGUGACUAAUUCUAUGAGGUAUCUGGGGACAGGGGUAUAAGAAAAAGGUUUCAGCCAGGAAUGAUGCCCAUCAGAGGGGGUGUUUGAAGCAUUAGCAGGAAUGGUUAAAAAAAAAAAGCUCUUGAGGUAGAUAGUAAUAAAUGACUACGAAAUGCUGAUUGACAGCACAGAAGAAAGUAAACUGUAAAGAGGUGAAUUCUCUUAAUUUUAAAUUAUCAGCAAAGGGAUUAGUUGAAAAAUGGGGUGAAGGAAUAAAGAACUCCUUUUACUCAAGUCUUAAAAGUUACAGAAGUAAAAUAAUGCUUCCAUAAUUCCCACUCCAGUAAAGACCAGUGUUGUUACAUUGGUGUAUGUUCCUCCAGGGUGUGUAUUCAUGACUGACCUUGUUUUCUGUAGAAAUGGAAUCUUCAUACACUGGAGGUGGUGUAGGAAAGUGGUUGCAUGUGUUGGCUUAGGCAGUCUGGUCUGGAGUGCAGGGUCCACUCCUUCCCAGUUCUGUCAUCUUGGGAAGUCAUUUCUCUUCACCUCAGUUUCCUCCUCUGCAGAAUAGGGCUAUAACUGUGUCACUUGUCGGUUGAGAUUUUAAAUGUCAGCAGAGACGUUUUGUGCAUGGAAAGGAACCCAUAAAGUGGCUUUUGUUUUAAUUGAUAUUUAAUUUAUUAGGAGUGUAAAAUUUAAUUCUAGUUACUAAGCAGUGAAACCCAAAUCUCAAAUUCACUUAUAAAUCUAUCAAUUUUAUGUUAAAAUAAAACACUUUUCUUGUUCUUUGCUUAAUCCUCACUGAACAUAUUACUUUGACAUAUUAAAC
rnacentral:lncRNA from 1 species